rnacentral:lncRNA from 1 species
UGAAAAUGCGUAGGGCGCGCGAAUAACCAGUAGGGUGAGAAAAGUAAUUCUCUUGGUGGAAUUUCUUACCUUCUUUCUUUAGAGAUCCUUUACAUGACAAGAUGAGUUAACAAUGUUACCGUUUUGAUUAAGUUUUUCUUUUUGUCCUUGUUCUAGGGGUCAAGUCUAGCCCCCUAUACUUCUUUUUCUCUUCUUUUCCUAUAUAUAUUUUUUAUUAUGAGAUAUAGGCAGAGGAGAGAUAUGUCUAAGGGUGUCAACAUAGUUGAGAUGUAUAUUCAUGCUAUGAUACUUAGAUGCUCUUAAGUAUCUAUAUAUAGAAGUGUUAGCUAACGCCAAUCUCUUCUUCUAAACCGAAACAUUUUUCUACAUAACAAAGUAAUAAACUGAUACCAAACUAACAAGAACAAACUCCAUUGAUAGAGCUUGAAGAACAGAGAGAAGGAAGAAGAAGAUAAAAUGUGGAGGAGUAGAUUGUAUUGAAUAUUGAAUGAAUGAUCAAUUACAAGUGUGUGUAGAGUUUAUAUAGAAUAGUUAGUUACAAACUGAAUAACCAACUUGUCUUACAAGUUUAACUAACUAACUCAAUGUAAUAAGCUAAUUAGUCAUAUUUAAUCAAUCUACAUUUUGUCACUACAUAAAGCUCAAAUCUCUCUAUAACUCUACAGCUUCCACGGCUCCAGAUCGCGCUGCCUAUCUCUUCCCGGCCACCUCACACCGAGAGACUCUUACCACUGCUAGCCACUAGAGUAAGCUCAACAUGUUGGACACUCCCAACAAUGAUUGGUUUCGUAGCUAAAUGGCGCACGAGGGGUGGAAUUUCUAGCCAACAUGCCAGACACUUCCCAACCAUCUUUAAUGUGGAAUUUCUAACCACUAGGCUAGUUGACAAAAAAAAAAUCCGGACAAGAGUGGUUUUAAAGAAUCACGGGACGAGAAAAGAAAACUCCCUUCAUGUGGAAGUGUUAUUUGCUCAUUUGGUUUAACGAUAUGGAGGGACUGGUUUGAUUAAAAGAUUAAACAUCAAUUUGUUAUUGACAAGUUGUGAAAUGUUGUAAAGAAAAUUUGGAAAGACUUUCUUGAAAGACCUUAAGAUCAGUUCUACAAGUGCAGAUAAAAAAUAGAGCUAAGAAAACAAUGAAAAUAAAUUCAUUGAUCAAGAUUAUGUACUGCAACAACACCACCACCAAAAAAAGGCAUACAGGGUUACAAAACAUUAAUGCAAGUUUCAACAUGAAUGUCAGUUGCUGUAGUCACGGCCUUGCAUUGUUAACCUUCCAGAAUUGAAGUGCGACAAGGGCGAUAAAUAGCAAUGGUGGCGAUGAAAAUAAUGCAAAUUUCAACAUGAAUGUCGGUUGCUGUAGUCACGGCCUUGCAUUGUUAAACUUCCAGAAUUGAAGUGCGACAAGGGCGAUACAUAGUAAUGGUGGUGAUGAAAAUUGAAACUCAUUGACGACAAGUCAGAGUCACUCAUUCAAGCUUAGCUACAUACUUGGAGCGAGUAUACUCCAAAGCUUUGAAAAUAGAAGAACAAUUAUGUUGACGAAUAAUCAUGACAAGGAUGAAUAUGUUGGCUGCUAAGAACAUUAAGCCUGCCGCCCAAAGCUGUAAAAGGACAUU